GGCCGAGUGGAGACGGCGUGCCGGCUCCAGCAGCACACCCUGGGCCUGCUGCAGCGCGGAGCUCCAAGCAAAGAGGUGAGAAGGUGCUGUGGUACCCGCCGUGCUGAGGCACUUCCCUGUGCGAGCACACUGAGUUUGCUCAGGGUUGGCUUUGCUUUUUCCUUCUCUGUGGAGGGGAAAAGAGUGGAAGGCUACAAAGUCCAAAGGCAGUGAGGUGCCACAACGUGUAAGCCUGUCUCUUCCCGUUAACUCUAUGGCAGUCUUCUGCACGCCUCCUGGAAAUGUCAUUCACUGGGAGGCUUCCUAGUCCCAUUUCCUCCGUCUUUUUGCUGCCUUAUGCUUGUACGGCAUGUAUGUUUCUGC
ensembl:lncRNA